AAUUAUAUGCCCAAGAUUGGGUUUCCACUCCUCCAAAACCCUCUUCUUCCCAAAAAGACCACGAUGAGGGCUUCCACACUGCCAACGAUGGGAAGUUUAGGGGGUAGUGUUCACACGACCACCACCAUCGCCACCCACAUGAAGAUAUAGGAUACAAAAAUACUACUCCCAAUCGGAUCAACAGAUGGAUUGCAGGCCGAGUUCAUGGAGAGCGCCAUGGCUGGGUCCACUUCGUUUUCCACUCCCGAAGGAGAGGUCAACAGCCUUAUGCAACAGGUAGCUGAUGAUUACAGCCUCGAGGUCUCGGUGGGUCAGCCGCAGCCAGGGGCACACGCUGUGCCUACCAAGGAGACUGAGAAGGUCCACGAAGACAAUCUCUCCAGGCGCCUUGCAGAGCUCAAGGCUAAAGGAAACUAGGUUGGCCUUCAAAAUAUCUGUAUAAUAGUGUGAUUCAUCUAUCAAGAAAUUUUUGGAUUUCCAACAAUCCAUGUCGGUACUGGACUAUGGGAAAUGAUGAAGAGGGAAAGUCGGCUAAAUCCGACAAAAUUUCUCUGCCUGCAACCCCGGUAAAAAGAAAAAAAAAAAAAGAACUCCACACUUCUGGACACCAUUAAAGUGAACAAACUUUCAUCUAAGCUACUUCAACAUGACGACAAUGCCACAGAGCAAUAACCUCAAAUACCAACUAAUACCUAAUAUCACAAGGGGUCAAACUAAUUGGACAGCCAAAGUAAUUGUAGUUAAAAAAACUCCUCCACGCCUAUCCAGAAAUUCUAUCAAAUAUCAUAAUUUGCUUCUAAUUGAUCCACAGGGAACCAUAUCGAAGCAACUAUUUACCAAGAUGAUAUUCAAGCCCUGCAUUAGACAUUGCACAUGACAAAAGCAUACGCAAUUUCUAAUGCCAAUGUCAAAGAUUGCAAACUGGACUACAAAAAAAUGGAGAUCUCCAAUGGGUCAUAACUGGAAAAGCUAAAAUUAAAGAACUUCAAGAAAAUUAUAAUGAUCUGUUGAUGUCUACUUACAACUUUGUGCCUCUAAGUAAUAUACAACAGUAUAUUGAUCUUCCAUCUAAAGAAAUUAACAUUCGUCCUAAACGUCAAAUACACAAUCGUCAUGGAGAAGCUACAAUUCAAGAACUUGUUCUUGUGGAUAAUGAGUUUAACAUAGCUACACUUACAAUGUGGAAUAAUUUUGUUGACAAUGAAUGCGCUGCAAUCUCAAACAUCAUUCAUAAGAAACCAAUUAUGAUUGGAACACGACUCAAAGCAUGUCAAUAUCCACAAAAAACUCAAGCUGCUUUUUAAUUGAGCCUCAGUUGGAAGUUGCUAAAGAUCUUCGUACCUAGAUAACUCGAAACAAUUGCAUCCUCAAUGAGAGGAUCACUCAAAAAGCAUAUCUUCUUCCUGCAACAACUCUUUCACCUCCUUCUUCUGAUCAAAUUACUGAUAUAAGGAAGAUACAUGAUAUGUUAAACAUGCAAACAAGUUUCUGGGUCAAAGCAAUUGCUAAAGUCACAAAUUAUGCCCAACCAUUUUGGUAUAUGGCAUGUCCCCUUUGUAACAGAAUCACUGAAUCUGAAUAUAGGGAAACUUUUCACUGUCUAUAUUGCAAAAACAAUGAACUCAAAGCAGUCCCUAGAGAUGCAGAAUAGAUGUUGAACUUACUGAUUCAUCAGCCUGGCUUACAGCAACUGUAUUUGGGGAAAUUGCAGAAACAUUGUUCUCAUGUAAUACAACAACACUGAUGAAUACCAAAAUUAAGGCAAGUGACAGCAUUUCUAACGAACUUCUCGAACUCCAUGACAACAAAGAGAUACUAGCUUACAUCAAGGCAAUAAAAUAAGACUCCACUGAAGGAUGAAAAUUCAACAUCACUUCAUUCCUUGAUACAACUCCACUCUCAAAUGAAGAAUUAAUCUCUAAUGCUUCAACUUCCCAUCCUAAUCCAACUCCACUUGUGACUCUUCCUGAAAAGAAACACAAAGUUACAGCUCACGAUGAAGAGAAGAAACAUGAAGCUACUCAUGAAGUUGGAAACAACCACAAGGCUUCUAAUGAAGAUCAGAUGCAGUGGAAAGCUUGGGUGUGCAUCUCUUCUAAAUAAGAUUGCUCUUUUGUUACUCUUUUGAAAAUUAUUUUGAAAGUUCCAUGAUGGAAUACAUAUGUAAAUACUAAAUAGGCCUUGUUGGAACUAUAUUAUAGGCUUCCACUCUUGAAAGCUCCAUCACUACUAGAUGGAAUGAAUAUGUAAAUAAAUAGGCUACAACUUAGGAACACCUUAACAAUCUUUUGAGUUCUAUUACAACUUGACAUGAAUCAUGUUGCAACAUUAAAAAUUUUGUCACCUUAAAUAA